rnacentral:lncRNA from 1 species
CCCCGUCUUCUUCAGCCCGCCGGGGCUCAGCGCCAUCAGCGGGUAGUAGUGGGUGUACACGCGGUCGCUCUCUAACGUCGCCAGCCUCACGCGCACCUUGCCGAUCCUCUGGUCCUUUGCUCCUUCGCUAUGGUGGACGUGGUUGUUGUCGAACACGGCGACGGUGAUCACCGUGCUCAGGUCGAACACCUCCCAGGUGUACUGCUCGUUCCACGCCGGCGCCGCCGUGCCCAACAGCGUGCGCGUGCGCACCCACUUGGACCCGUACUUGGCCACGCAGUAGGGGUUCUUGCUGCCGCCCAGGCCGCGCGCGCUGAGGAUGCC